rnacentral:rRNA from 1 species
UACGAAGGGGGCUAGCGUUGUUCGGAAUUACUGGGCGUAAAGCGUGCGCAGGCGGCUUCUCAAGUCAGGGGUGAAAGCCCAGAGCUCAACUCUGGAAUUGCCUUUGAGACUGAGUGGCUUGAGUACGAGAGAGGUGAGUGGAAUUCCCAGUGUAGAGGUGAAAUUCGUAGAUAUUGGGAAGAACACCAAUGGCGAAGGCAGCUCGCUGGGACGGUACUGACGCUGAGGCGCGAAAGCGUGGGGAGCAAACAGG